GACGAACGCUGGCGGCGUGCCUAAUACAUGCAAGUCGAGCGGGCUGAAUUCAAAGAUUCCUUCGGGAUGAUUUGUUGGACGCUAGCGGCGGAUGGGUGAGUAACACGUGGGCAAUCUGCCCUAAAGACUGGGAUACCACUUGGAAACAGGUGCUAAUACCGGAUAACAACAUGAAUCGCAUGAUUCAAGUUUGAAAGGCGGCGCAAGCUGUCACUUUAGGAUGAGCCCGCGGCGCAUUAGCUAGUUGGUGGGGUAAAGGCCUACCAAGGCAAUGAUGCGUAGCCGAGUUGAGAGACUGAUCGGCCACAUUGGGACUGAGACACGGCCCAAACUCCUACGGGAGGCAGCAGUAGGGAAUCUUCCACAAUGGACGCAAGUCUGAUGGAGCAACGCCGCGUGAGUGAAGAAGGUCUUCGGAUCGUAAAGCUCUGUUGUUGGUGAAGAAGGAUAGAGGCAGUAACUGGUCUUUAUUUGACGGUAAUCAACCAGAAAGUCACGGCUAACUACGUGCCAGCAGCCGCGGUAAUACGUAGGUGGCAAGCGUUGUCCGGAUUUAUUGGGCGUAAAGCGAGCGCAGGCGGAAUGAUAAGUCUGAUGUGAAAGCCCACGGCUCAACCGUGGAACUGCAUCGGAAACUGUCAUUCUUGAGUGCAGAAGAGGAGAGUGGAACUCCAUGUGUAGCGGUGGAAUGCGUAGAUAUAUGGAAGAACACCAGUGGCGAAGGCGGCUCUCUGGUCUGCAACUGACGCUGAGGCUCGAAAGCAUGGGUAGCGAACAGG
rnacentral:rRNA from 1 species